rnacentral:snoRNA from 1 species
CUGCAAGUAGUUAAGCUCAUUCACCUAGCUUUCCUCCCUGAUGAAGUCUCACUUUGCAGCAGCUGCAAAAAAGCCAAUUCCCCAGCUGUGUAUGCAGCUCAUUUCUUGUUUGUGUUGCUCUAAGGGACCUUGAAGACAUCA